UUAAAUCAGUAAUAGUUUAUUUGAUGGUCUCUUACCACUUGGAUACCCGUGGUAAUUCUAGAGCUAAUACAUGCGUCGAUGCCCGACUUUUUCGGAAGGGUUGUAUUUAUUAGAUUCAAAACCAAUCGGGAUUUCGGUCCCGUUUCGGACGAUUCAUAGUAACUGUUUGGAGCGCACGGCCUUUGCGCCGGCGCCGGAUCAUUCAAGUUUCUGCCCUAUCAACUUUCGAUGGUAGGGUAUUGGCCUACCAUGGUUGCGACGGGUGACGGAGAAUUAGGGUUCGAUUCCGGAGAGGGAGCCUGAGAAACGGCUACCACAUCCAAGGAAGGCAGCAGGCGCGCAAAUUACCCAAUCCCGACACGGGGAGGUAGUGACAAUAAAUAACAAUACGGGGCUUUUUCAAGUCUCGUAAUUGGAAUGAGUCCAAUUUAAAUCCCUUAACGAGGAACAAUUGGAGGGCAAGUCUGGUGCCAGCAGCCGCGGUAAUUCCAGCUCCAAUAGCGUAUAUUAAAGUUGUUGCAGUUAAAAAGCUCGUAGUUGGAUUUCAGGCCGACUCGAUCGGUCCGCUUGACGGCGUGUCACUGGUCGAGUCGGUCUUCUUCUCGAGGAGUCGGCGUGCUCUUAAUUGCGCGUGCCGACGACUGGAGACCUUUACUUUGAGUAAAUUAGAGUGUUCAAAGCAGGCGGUCAAGCUUGAAUAGAUUAGCAUGGAAUAACGGAAGAGGACCUUUCGGUCCUGUUUUGUUGGUUUUGGGGACCGAGGUAAUGAUUAAUAGGGACAGUCGGGGGCAUUCGUAUUGAAUUGUCAGAGGUGAAAUUCUUGGAUUUUAUGAAAGACGAACGCGUGCGAAAGCAUUUGCCAAGGAUGUUUUCAUUAAUCAGGAAACGAAAGUUGGAGGCUCGAAGACGAAUUAGAUACCGUCGUAGUUCCAACCAUAAACGAUGCCGCCUAGGGAUCGGAGGACGUCAAUCGUACGACUCCUUCGGCACCUUGUGAGAAAUCAAAGGCUUUGGGUUCCGGGGGGAGUAUGGUCGCAAGACUGAAACUUAAAGGAAUUGACGGAAGGGCACCACCAGGAGUGGAGCCUGCGGCUUAAUUUGACUCGACACGAGGAAACUCACCAGGUCCAGACAUAGCGAGGAUUGACAGAUCGAGAGCUCUUUCUUGAUUCUAUGGGUGGUGGUGCAUGGCCGUUCUUAGUUGGUGGAGUGAUUUGUCUGCCUAAUCGCGAUAACGAACGAGACCUUAACCUGCUAACUAGUCACGUUGCGUCUUCGGACGCGACGGCCGACUUCUUAGAGGGACUAUCGGCGUCUAGUCGAUGGAAGUUUGAGGCAAUAACAGGUCUGUGAUGCCCUUAGAUGUCCUGGGCCGCACGCGCGCUACACUGACAAAGUCAAUAAGUCGUCGUCCUGCUCCGAUAGGUGCGGGUAAUCUCGCAAACUUUGUCGUGCUGGGGAUAGACCCUUGUAAUUCUUGGUCUCGAACGAGGAAUUCCUAGUAAGCGCGAGUCAUCAGCUCGCGUUGAUUACGUCCCUGCCCUUUGUACACACCGCCCGUCGCUACUACCGAUUGGCUGGUCGGAUGAGAGCAUUGGAACGCGGUCGGGCCGGAUCACUCCGGACCGUUCUGCGCAAAGUUGUUCUAGUCUGUUUAGCUAGAGGAGGUAAAAGUCGUA
rnacentral:rRNA from 1 species